GGGGCGUUAGCUCAAUUGGUAGAGCGCCUGCUUUGCAAGCAGGAGGUCAUCGGUUCGAUUCCGAUACGCUCCA
rnacentral:tRNA from 1 species